rnacentral:lncRNA from 1 species
CUGGACAAGCGCUCUAAAUCAAGCCAGUGGCAUGAGAUCACCCUGGCUCUAGCAUUUUGGAAGAAGAUGACCAUUUUGGAAGAAGCAGCCCAAUGAGAAAAUAGGAGACUUCUUCGAGUCUGGUGUUUGUGCGUCCAUGCAAAGACGCUACGUUGCUUUAGGACGCCAAACAGAGAAGUCACGCGGCAUGAGAAGGCUAAAAAUAAGCAGUUUUCUAAUUUCCCACGAAACCACCCUUGUUUAAGCCUAAGAUGUAAGAUGCAGUAUUCUCUCUUAGGGAACCAUUAAGGAUAAAGAAUCAACGUGAACUGAGUCUCAUAACGUGUUUUAUUUCAUUUAGUCCCUUGGCAUUUUGAGGUGGGUGUCAGGGUCCUCCCUUCACUGACAGGGAAACAACUCUAAGAGGAUCACCACGGCCAAGCUGCCACUCAAGCCAACACCUGCUCGACUUCAAGAGCCAGGCUUUUUUCUACUACCCGUCGUGUUUUGUUUUCUCCCCUCCCGUUUCGUUUGCAUUAGGUGUAGGGACUACAGCUACCCUGUCACCCACGGUCGCUGCGAAAUGUCGCUUACGGUCAGGCCCCCAGAACGGUCACGCGCCCUCCCCUCCUGAGGUGUCUCCGAAACUCGAGCUCCACCGACGAGAAGCGCAGGCCUGAGGCACCGACGCCAGCGCCAGCGCCAGCGCCAGCCCCAGCGUGGCCUCAGGAGCCCGGAAGGCGCCCCCGGGGCGCGUUUACAACACUGUCGUAAAGCGGCGGCUGCCGACAGCCGGCCUCGAGGCGCCGUCGAGGAGCUCGGCGGAGAAAGGAGAUGGAGGAAGGCUGAGGGCCGGGUGACGCCGAAUGGAGACGAGGCGCGGGGUGAAUGGUUGGAGAAGGGAGAGUGAAUGCGGAUUAUCAGGAGAACACAAGUUGUUCCAGCCCAUUGUGUUGUGCUAAGAUAUUGGAUUAUCUUAACUGUUCGCCAUUAGAAAUAUGUAGAUCCCCGGGGCUACUUUGUAAUCAGUGCUUCAUAACACACGCCCGAGCUCCUGGGUUUUGCCGCACGCGGCGGCGAGGUGCAAGCAGCACGCUGUGGUAG